AGUGAACGCUGGCGGUAGGCCUAACACAUGCAAGUCGAACGGCAGCACAGUAAGAGCCUGCUCUUACGGGUGGCGAGUGGCGGGCGGGUGAGGAAUACAUCGGAAUCUACUUUUUCGUGGGGGAUAACGUAGGGAAACUUACGCUAAUACCGCAUACGACCUACGGGUGAAAGCAGGGGAUCUUCUGACCUUGCGCGAUUGAAUGAGCCGAUGUCGGAUUAGCUAGUUGGCGGGGUAAAGGCCCACCAAGGCGACGAUCCGUAGCUGGUCUGAGAGGAUGAUCAGCCACACUGGAACUGAGACACGGUCCAGACUCCUACGGGAGGCAGCAGUGGGGAAUAUUGGACAAUGGGCGCAAGCCUGAUCCAGCCAUACCGCGUGGGUGAAGAAGGCCUUCGGGUUGUAAAGCCCUUUUGUUGGGAAAGAAAAGCAGCAGGUUAAUACCCCGCUGUUCUGACGGUACCCAAAGAAUAAGCACCGGCUAACUUCGUG
rnacentral:rRNA from 1 species